rnacentral:lncRNA from 1 species
GUUUUGGUCUGAGGACAAACAGUUGCCCAAGUUCUGAUAUAACACAGUAACACCCUGUUUUUAUAGUGUAAAACACAGUUACUAUGUUUUUGUGUACUAAAAUUCUGUUGCUAUCCUACCCGUCAUUUGGGAGUUUUGUCAUAAAGCAUGCUAACAGUUGUCAUUAUCCCACUUUUCUGUCCUUCACCCUUGAUUAAUUUAAUUGGCCUGGAUUAGAAGAUAACUGAUGAUGAUAACGACUAGGAUGAAAAUAUAACAAGUCAGAAAGAGAAGUCAAGAAAACAUGCACUAAAAAUUAGUGUCAAACAUUCAAUCUUUUAUGAAUUGAUGAACGUUCCCAGAAUGGUGGCCUGCUCCAAGGACUGAAAGAGCCAUCAGGCAACUGCAAGAUUCAGUCUCACCAUGUAGUGAGGCACCAAUCAAAAUCUCAGGCCACUAUACAUCAUAUCUCGAACUGUGUUUUGAAAUGCAAAUUAGCAUUUUAAUCAUCAUUUUCAGCUGCCAGCAACUCAGCUGAUGAGAAGUCAGCUUCUCUUCCAGCUGAGUGAUGAUCCUAAGGAUCUUACUUCUGCUUCUCUACCCUCCCCAUAGCAUACCAUGACCCUGUGUUUUUAUCUUGUUUAUAUUUUGUGGCUUGCAUUACACCUUACAGGAGCACUGAAAGCAGAGUAUGCCUGUAGUAAAAGUAAGCACAAUUUGCCUCUCUUUGAUAAACUGUUGCAUAUCCUUCUUACUGCAGUUAGGUUAUGUACCAGCUGAGAGAGAUGGAGGGGAAAACACUUUCACUCAAGUUUCACAAGAACACCUUUUGCACCACUUUACAAGUGAGAGUCAAAGAGAAAUAGAAAUAUAUAUUGUUAGUAGUUAAAGCAGGAACUAGAAUCAACACCACCACCUCCCCUUCUCCCUCCUGUUCCUACAGGUUCCAAACGGGCAAACAAGGAGUUAUGGUAUGCUCCAGCCAGGACUCUGGCUUAGGAAUCAGCUCUCCAUCAUUACAUGGCACCAGCACAAAGGCAGGUGGGCAGUGUGACUGAAGCCAGGCUGACACAGCACCCAGACCCAUUUGCACUGAAGGUCUGUAGACUAGGACUGCAGCCAUUCAGCAGAAUGCAUGAACACAGAAGCACUUUCCAUCUCAUGCAGACAGCUGAGCUGGGGGGAAAGGAGGUUGCACUUGUGAACCCCAGGUUUUUGAAGGAAGCUGAGAUGAGGAGAUGAGGAUGUAUGAAAAGACAUUGGGAAGACUAUUACUUCUGUGAGAAGCCUGGGUGCCAUGACCUGUUGAUAUGGGAGCAACAGACUAGCGAAUUUUUGUGUUAUAUUAGCUUUAUUUCAUGAAACUUGUUUAUAUUUAUGCAAAUGAAGUUGUAUCCCACUGAUUAAGGCUGUUUUAUUUUCGUUUGAGUCAUCUCACGAUGCAACCACUAGGAAGAUAAACCCACAGUAGAAACAUAAAAGAUGAAACAAAGUUCCUAUAAAAGUUGUCUAGAUUAGCUCUGUGAUGGGGGCCACAAGGGCCAGCUAUAUGCAGAAAUAAUGCCGAUUUAACUAAAACCUUUGAACUGAUUUAAUUAAAAUCAACAUAACCCCUACCUGCUUCUUUAAGAAAUAAAUGUAUUUGGUUGGAUGUAUAUUAAUUUUAG